rnacentral:rRNA from 1 species
AAUAGAUACCCGGGUAGUCCACGCCGUAAACGUUGGGCGCUAGAUGUGGGGGCCAUUCCACGGUUUCCGCGUCGUAGCUAACGCAUUAAGCGCCCCGCCUGGGGAGUACGGCCGCAAGGCUAAAACUCAAAGGAAUUGACGGGGGCCCGCACAAGCGGCGGAGCAUGCGGAUUAAUUCGAUGCAACGCGAAGAACCUUACCAAGGCUUGACAUAUACGAGAACACUGCAGAAAUGUAGGACUCUUUGGACACUCGUAUACAGGUGGUGCAUGGUUGUCGUCAGCUCGUGUCGUGAGAUGUUGGGUUAAGUCCCGCAACGAGCGCAACCCUCGUCGCAUGUUGCCAGCACGUAAAGGUGGGAACUCAUGUGAGACUGCCGGGGUCAACUCGGAGGAAGGUGGGGAUGACGUCAAAUCAUCAUGCCCCUUAUGUCUUGGGCUUCACGCAUGCUACAAUGGCCGGUACAAAGGGCUGCAAUACCGUAAGGUGGAGCGAAUCCCAAAAAGCCGGUCUCAGUUCGGAUUGAGGUCUGCAAC